GCAAACAGAACUGGAGUCGAUUGGGUCGGGGAAAUUGGGUGUGGCGACUCCAAUUAGGGUUUCAAGCAGAGGUGAAAGAGGAUUGAACGAUCAGGUAAUCAAACCGAGUUCUUGCUUUCUUCCCUACUUGUUUAUGUUUGUAUCUUGGUCGGUUAUUGCUGUUGGUUGCGGCGAAUUGGGCGGCGAUGAAUUGUCAAUUGGCGGUGGGGAAGGAGAGAUGGAGAGUUGCCAGAGGUUAAUCUGGAUCAGAGCUAUGAACCUCUGAAAUGAACAAAAGAAAACUUCUGAUGUUGCAUUAACAGGUAUUACUCCCAGGCUGCUCUUUUUUUUAUUCACAUGCAUAUCUUGUUGGUUACAAGUUUCGGACCACUGGGUCAUCGGUCAUCUGCUGAUUUAUUAUACCCCAUAAUAGGUUUGGCAUGGCUAUCUUCCUCUAUUAUCUGAAUUUUCACAUGAAUAUGUAUCUAGUUGAAGUGAAUGAGGGCAAAAAGUAACUAUAUAUUUACUGAAACUUUGUUCUUUAAAUAAUAUCACUCUGAUUAGCAUCUCAAUAUGUUAAAACUAUAAAGAUUGCUUUUACUGAUAUUUGCCACACAAAAGAUUAUCUUAGCUUAUUAUUAGUAAUUAAUGAGUUUUAAAUUUGCUUCGUCAUCUUAGUGCUUGUAUGGGUUACAAUAACAAUGCGUUAAAUAAUAAAAAUAUUUCAUUAGCAAGACUUGAUUGAAAAUUUGACACUUAUCUUUUUCUCAUUGAAUAUCACACCUAAAAUUUUGUUUGUGGCACAAAAAUUAAUUUCAUUUGUGGUCUGCCAAUAUUGUAAAAAUAGUCAACUCUAUCUAGUUAGGUAAAUGUGUAAUCAUUAUUAGUUUCAUAUCUUGUGAGUGAUUAUUCAAUUUGGUAGUUUUUGUUUGAUCUUUGUUCAUUGUGGACUUGUGGUUCAUAAUAAGGCUGAUAGUUGAUAAAUAUUAUAUGAAAUAUGAUUUCUUGGGAUGUUAAUCGUACUCUAGUUCUUUCUGAAAUUAAAAGAUUAGUUUGUAUUUGUGUUUAUGUUAUUAUUCAGGAAUACUUAUAGGUUUCUAUAUCUGUACAAGGAGGUGUACUCUUAUAUUGUUGGAGACUUCGACUGAUCAUUGAAAUUAAGAUUCUUAUCUUGUUAUAGCUUGUUACAGGUUUUGAUCCAAACACACUUCUCUCUGUCAUCCUGUUAAGGAUAUACUUGGGCAGUGGUUCUGCAUUCACAUCACCCAAGCCUAUUUAUUACUGCUUUGUAAUGUAGAUCCUUCUUUUUAGUUGUUUUGCUGCAUUAACAAUUAUGUCCUUUUUAGAUGUUUAUAGUCAUGUAAUUGACCAGCUCUUUUGUUUCUAUUUCUAGACUUUCGGACCAUGUCCAGCAGCAUUGCGUGCAUUCAUAUGUUGUGCAUACAGAUUCAGUUUGGGCACUUUCUAGUACACCCACUUUCAGUCAUGUUUAUACUGGUGGCAGAGAUCUUUCUGUUGUGAAAAUAAAAUGUGAUGAAAGAGAAGAUCUGAAGGUGUAGGCUACAGGUCUUGCUGCAGCUUUGGUUGCAAGAAAGCUCCUCACACAAAUGAACCUUCUGGUGGAAGAAUAAAAUCUGCUGAUAGAAAAUUGGAAAGAACAUAAAGUUUAUCUGCCGCAGCUAAAUCAGUAGAGAACCAAAAGCAGGGAGAGAAAUAUGGAAAUAAAACACUGCACGAGGAUGCCUUGAGAGUUUUUGGGAAGGCAUCACUCAAAUCUGAGGGAAAAGCCACAUUGAAAAUAUCACUUGCUGCUGGAUCUCUUUCUAUUCCACUGGUGACAGCUGAGACCUUUUAACAUGAUCCAUACGAAGGGCGACAGACAGUAGCAAUCGCUUAGCUUCAGACAGAGUAUCCUAUGCAAGGAAAAUGUUAGAAGUUCAUACUUAUGUAUAUAGACACCUUGGAUUUAGAAGGAUAUUUAGCUUUAAUUAUGUAUGAAACAUUGGUCGAUACUUUUUUCUUUUAAAUCGAAUAUUG